rnacentral:rRNA from 1 species
GGAGUUAGCCGGUGCUUCUUCUGUGAGUGAUGUCCUUCCUGCCGGUUAUUGACCCGCAGGCCUUCUUCCUCACUGAAAGUGCUUUACAACCCGAAGGCCUUCUUCACACACGCGGCAUGGCUGGAUCAGGGUUGCCCCCAUUGUCCAAUAUUCCCCACUGCUGCCUCCCGUAGGAGUCUGGGCCGUGUCUCAGUCCCAGUGUGGCUGAUCAUCCUCUCAGACCAGCUACGGAUCGUCGCCUUGGUGAGCCGUUACCUCACCAACCAGCUAAUCCGACAUAGGCUCAUCCGAUAGCGCGAGGCCCGAAGGUCCCCCGCUUUCCCCCGUAGGGCGUAUGCGGUAUUAGCCUGGGUUUCCCCAGGUUAUCCCCCACUACCGGGCAGAUUCCUAUGCAUUACUCACCCGUCCGCCGCUCGCCACCAGGGAGCAAGCUCCCCGUGCUGCCGCUCGACUUGCAUGUGUUAGGCCUGCCGCCAGCGUUCAAUCUGAACCAGAUCAAAUUCCUGA